CAUCAUCAUAUUGCAUAUAAAGGGUAUUACACUACACAUUUUGAAAUUUAUUUGUCUGGCUCUGCUUUGUGAGAGUUCUCCAUGUUGAUAAAUGUAGCUAUAGUUCAUUUGCUUUCACUGCUCUAGGGUAUUUCACUGUGUGACUCUACCACAAUUCAUUGAUCUAUUCUGUCGAUAGACACUUGUUUCUCAUGUUUUGCUUUUAAGAACAAUGAGGCUAUAAGUUCUAGUGUAUAUGUCUCCAUUUUCUUGGGCAAGGUUGUGUUUGUUUCCUUUGCAGAUCAACUCCUUGCCCUUAUGCUGCUCUGCUCUGUAUCUCGGGACCAGACCCACAUGGGUUGCAUUUCCCAGGCCCCUCUCCAAUCAUGAGCUAACCUGUAAACCAGGCGUGUCUUAUCUGUGUUGACAAGUCUUCUGCAACCCAAUCCCCUGGACAGGGCAUGUGCAGAGAAGUGGUUCAUAGCUGGCUAGCCAAGGAACACAGAUGGCUGGACUCAAGAAACAUCAGGCUCUAUUUGCUGCAGAUCCCAGCCAGGAGACUAGAGGAGGUGUGGCUUCACUAGGGGCAACUUCCAGGCUUUUCUAGCCUAACUGUACUCCAGGUUCAGCUGAACUCAAGCCUAUAAUGGGAACUUGUUUCUCUCCAUUUUUACCGAGCCUGGUUUGGAAAGUUUAUUGGAUAGGGCAAGUCCCUGAAACGUAACCAGCUCCAUGCAAUGUGGCCAACUGGCAGCCAAGAGCCAUGCUGAGUUGGAGCAGAGAAUACACCGACACUGUAUGGCCAGAGCCUAGUGCUGCCAUGGGAAGCCUAGAGAGCUGAGCAUGACUCCUCAGCAGGCUGAAGAAUGAGCUUAGGACCUGCCUGAUGCUUCCCUGGCUGCAUAGGCUUGGACGUUCGUCUCUCCACUGGCAAUGGCAGCCUCGAGUAUAAACCCACUGCGAGGACUGACUCCCCAGAGCAAAGGUCAGGAGCUUGUGUAACGUGUAUUUUAGAACAGUUAUACUUGCAUAUGCUAUUUUUAAAAUUCAAAGAAUAUAACAAAAAGAACACAAAUUCUUAAUUCUUCUCAUCAGCUGGGUUCUCACCUCUCACUCCCCUCUCCAGCUCCUUAACAUUUUCUUUAUACAAACUCAAGCAAAUUUGAAUAUAUCUUGUUAUACUUCCCAAUUUUUAUACAAAAAUAACAUACAGGCAGUUUUUAAAAAAACUACAGAUUUAAGUGAUGUUUAAUUGAUAGUUUUUAAACUCAGGUUUUAAUUUUUAAUUAGAUAUUUCCUGUGAAUUGACUAUCAUUUGGAUAAUUUUUCCUUAUCUCCUAUG
rnacentral:lncRNA from 1 species